rnacentral:rRNA from 1 species
GAUGAACGCUGGCGGCGUGCUUAACACAUGCCAGUCGAACGGUGAACACGGAGCUUGCUCUGUGGGAUCAGUGGCGAACGGGUGAGUAACACGUGAGCAACCUGCCCCUGACUCUGGGAUAAGCGCUGGAAACGGCGUCUAAUACUGGAUAUGUGACGUGACCGCAUGGUCUGCGUUUGGAAAGAUUUUUCGGUUGGGGAUGGGCUCGCGGCCUAUCAGCUUGUUGGUGAGGUAAUGGCUCACCAAGGCGUCGACGGGUAGCCGGCCUGAGAGGGUGACCGGCCACACUGGGACUGAGACACGGCCCAGACUCCUACGGGAGGCAGCAGUGGGGAAUAUUGCACAAUGGGCGCAAGCCUGAUGCAGCAACGCCGCGUGAGGGAUGACGGCCUUCGGGUUGUAAACCUCUUUUAGCAGGGAAGAAGCGAAAGUGACGGUACCUGCAGAAAAAGCGCCGGCUAACUACGUG